UUGCAGUUAAAAAGCUCGUAGUUGGAUUUCGGGAUGGCCCAGUCGGUCCGCCUAACGGUGUGUUUACUGGCUGGUCUGUUCUUCUUCGCAAAGACUGCGUGUGCACUUUACUGUGUGUGCGUAGGAUUUACGACGUUUACUUUGAAAAAAUUAGAGUGUUCAAAGCAGGCAUACCGCUUGAAUACAUGAGCAUGGAAUAAUGGAAUAGGACUUUGGUCUUAUUUUGUUGGUUUCUGAGACCGAAGUAAUGAUUAAGAGGGACAGUUGGGGGCAUUCGUAUUUCGUUGUCAGAGGUGAAAUUCUUGGAUUUACGAAAGACGAACAAUUGCGAAAGCAUUUGCCAAGAAUGUUUUCAUUAAUCAAGAACGAAAGUUAGAGGAUCGAAGACGAUCAGAUACCGUCCUAGUUCUAACCAUAAACGAUGUCGACUAGGGAUCAGCGAACGUCUAAUGCGACUUCGUUGGCACCUUACGGGAAACCAAAGUUUUUGGAUUCCGGGGGAAAGUAUGGUUGCAAAACUGAAACUUAAAGGGAAUUGGCGGAAGGGGCACCACCAGG
rnacentral:rRNA from 1 species